rnacentral:rRNA from 1 species
GACGAACCGUGCUAACGUUAUUCGGAAUCAUUGGGCUUAAAGCGCGUGUAGGCGGAUGGGAACGUCGGAGUUGAAAGCCCCCCGGCUCAACCGGGGAAUUGGCCCCGAAACGACCCGUCUCGAGGGGCAUAGGGGGACCUGGAACUUCCGGUGGAGCGGUGAAAUGCGUUGAGAUCGGAAGGAACGCCCGUGGCGAAAGCGAGGUCCUGGAUGUCUUCUGACGCUGAGACGCGAAAGCUAGGGGAGCGAACGGGG